UAAGGUGACUAUUGCGGUGGGGACCACCUCUUCCCAUUCCGAACAGAGUCGUUAAGACCACCCGCGCCAAUGGUACUGGGAUAAAACCUGGGAGAGUAGGUCGUCGCCUGAC
rnacentral:rRNA from 1 species